rnacentral:lncRNA from 1 species
UUAGUUAGCUGUGUAACGGCGAUGAGGUGGCAGAUUCUGUAGCACGCCGGGCAAAAUGCUUCGCGGGAUUUCAUUUUGCUUUACGUUAUGAGUUCAAAUUCCGCCGAGGUUGACUUUGCCUUUCAUACUUUCGGAGUUGAUAAAAUAAGUACCAGUUUGAGUUUUGAGGUCGAUGUAAUCGAUUAGCUCCCUCUUCCGAAAUUUAUUCCUAUUACGAGGGAAUGGUGAAAAGGUCCCCGCUUUAAUGGAGCCGCAAAAGGCCUGGCUGAAAGCCCAACCUUCCGAGUUCUUUUACAGGACUUAGAAAAACUGAAGAACCGCUGCAAUAAGUACGUGGAUCCAAGAGGGGAAUAGGUGCAAUAAAAUCAUAAUUAACUGAUCCUACUGUAUUUUCUUUUACCCAAAGCCAGGAAUUUUUCAGCAUCCCUUCGUACAGAAGGAUUAUUAUGUUUUAAAUAUUCUUAUGUAUACUAUUCUACUUUCAGGGUAAGAAAAUGAUGCAAUGCGCCAACGGUGUUUGUCCACAUGCAUCCACAUCCUCACAUGAUUUCCUGCUACUCCUCCACAACAAUGAUUGCAGUGUUGAUGUCGUGUCUAACCGUCUCUACCGUCGAAACUACUUUCAAUAAGAUGAAGUAAUAGCACCCUCUAAGUUUCAAUUUUAAUAUUGCUUCGGUUACUGCUUUAUGUAUAUGUAAGUGUGUGAAGUGUGUGUGCGUAUCAGUAAGUACGUACGUGUGUGUGUGUCUGCUCGUGCGUGAACCAAUAUAUAUAUAUAAGCCGGACGAGUUAUUAAAUUAUACCGAAAGUCAGUGUGUUCACUAUGUGUGAAGAGGUAUUUGCACUUGUUUGAAGGUGUAUAUAUAAGGUAUAUACAUAUAUGUACGUAUAUAUGCAUAUAUUUAUAUAUUAUUUAUAUUAUAUAUAUAUAUACAUAUUACAUUAUAUAUAUCCAUAUAUAUGUAUACAUAUAUAUAUCCAUAUAUAUACCUAUAUAUGCUAUAUGCAUAUACAUAAAUAUGUAUACAUGCAUAUAUGGCCAGAUUGGAGCAAUCUCAAGAUUAAUCAGCCGAAAUUGCGAGGAUGAUCCGGUUCUUGACUGAAGAUUGAAGGCUUCGAAUGUCCCGUCCGUGUAUUUUGUAUCGUCUCCUAAAUGUUUUGCGUUAUUGUCCCAGUUUGUAUUUUUAUACAUAUAUAUAUAUAUAUAUAUAUAUAUAUAUAUAUAUAUAUAUAUAUAUACGCAGACACACAUACGUCUUCAGAUGGAUGGGCAUGUGGAGGGAAGAAUAGAUGGAUGCAUGUUUAUUUGUGUAUGGAUGGAUAUAUAUAUAUAUAUAUAUAUAUAUAUAUAUAUAUAUAUAUAUUACUUUUACAGAAUCAUUCAAAUUCUUCUGUCUUCAAGCCUACCACUAAUAAAAUAACAACGCUUUUGUGAAAAUGCAAAUGUGUUAAUGAGUAACUACAUGUGUAUGUGUAUGAAUAGAUAUAUUUUGCUGUUAUUGUGUGUACAUGUCUCAUAACCACUGAAAUAAGUGUGAUUAUUCCUUAUAAGUAUAUAUAUAUAUAUAUAUAUAUAUGCAUAUAUAUGGCAAUGUUCACACAAAGGAACCUCAAACAGAAUAAAACAUAAAAUGUUUUAGAGUUUCACUGUAUCCCUAUUUCACUGGGUUUAAUGAAUGUGAUUUGCCUUCGGAUCUUUUCGGUUUGAACGGCAGUUUUUAACAUAAUUUCUAGGUAACUAAAAAAUUUUAAACUUCGUAUACUGGCAGAAUGUGUUUAUAAAACAUCUUUUUCUCUUGGCUUUAUUGAGGAAAUUCUAUAAUAUGUAAGAUAUUUGUUGUUGUUUUUUCUUCAAUUUCUGCAAUUUCAACCAAUCAGUGACGUCCGUUGAGGUUAAAAAAAACAUUCUGUGCCGUAUGAAUAUGUCCCUCGUUUAAGAAACAGAUUGGGUUUAUUUACAUUUCUGAAGAAAAAAAGAUUCCCUUCCCCCCACCCCUAACCCUAACCCUAACUAACCCUAACCAUAAAACAGAUACAAAUGCAAUAGAUCGAUACUAGGGUCAUAAUUAUGGGUGACAAUUUCAUAUGACACCGCUAGGAAAAAACUGCCGUUCAAACCGAAAAGAUCCUCGCGUUCUUUUGUAGUCUAACAAAUGAAAAUCUUUAGUUGAAAUAUAAAAAUUUGUAAGCUCCCCAUAUGUUUAUCAUUUAUAUACUCUUUUUCCACAACUUAACUCUCUCAGACCUGGGACCCUAUGUCAAACUUUACCUUCCACCUAGGAUCCUGAGAAAAACGAUAAAUAGUUACACAUACAGCUCAAGAGUAUCAAAAAUUGCAGGCAAGGUAAUGGACAGAAUCGGCUGCAUAUUCUUUCUCUGCUUGCGUUAUACGUUACUACUUUACUGCGAAUCCGGCAGCGAUGACGUAACAUAUUCCCACUAUAGCAGGGCACGGUGUGACAGGGUUAGGGUGAAAUGUUCACCUUUAUUUUUAACGGGAGCUUUACUUCUGCAACAGUACUUAACAACGUCCCGCCAUAAUACAAUACCAGACGUGUUCUGUUUGCACCCGAUUGUUUUGUUUUUGUUUUUGUUUUUUUCUAUUGGAAUGUUUCAAUAACAUUCCUCACUUUUAAAGAGGAGAAUACAUUCUGGUUCUAGCGUGCCUUUUUGUAUGAUGUAUGACUGUCAGGACAAUCCUCUCUCUACAGAGAGCAUUUUAAAUAGAUUUGAUAGCAAUGUUAUGCCUCAUGCUUAUGACGUUGGUAAUAUUAAUCACACUGAGGGCGGCGAGUUGGCAGAAUCGUUAGCACGCCAGGCGAAGUGCUUAGCGGUAUUUCGUCUGUCUUUACGUUCUGAGUUCAAAUUCCACCGAGGUCAACUUAGCCUUUCAUCCUUUUAGGGUCGAUAAAUUAAGUACCAGUUACGCACUGGGGUCGAUGUAAUCGACUUAAUCCCUAUAUCUGUCUUUGUUUGUCCCCUCUAUGUUUAGCCCCUUGUGAGUAGUAAAGAAAUAGGUAUUUCGUCUGUCUUUACGCUCUGAGUUCAAAUUCCGCCGAGGUCAACCUAGCCUUUCAUCAUUUAGGAGUCAAUAAAUUAAGUACCAGUUGCGUACUGGGGUUGAUCUAAUCGACUGGCCCUCUUCCCCAAAAUUUCGGGCCUUGUGCCUAGAAUACAAAAGAAUAUUAAUCACAUUGAAUGAGGCGAGGAGACAUAAUCGUUUGCACUCGGGACGAAAUGCUUAGUGACAUUUCGUCUGACUUUACGUUCUGAGUUCAAGUUCCGCCGAAGUCGACCUUGCCUUUCAUCCUUUCGAGGUCGAUAAAAUAAGUACCAGUUAAGUACUGGGGUUGAUGUAAUCGACUUAUCCCCUCUCCCAAAAUUGCUGGCCUUGUGCCAGAAUUUGAAAUCACUAUUCAUCACACUAGUGUGACACAAUGCACUUUUUUCAACCACAAAGUCCCUCUUAUUGAUCAGGUAUUUAAUAGUUAUCUCCUCUUUUUGAAUAGCGAGUGCGUACCUCUGAUUCGUCGUGCAUUUAGGUAUGUAUAUUCGUAUGGUAUGCAUAUAUCUGUGUGUGUGUGUGUGUGUGUGUGUGUGUGUGUGUGUGUGUGUGUGUGUGUGUGUGUGUGUGUGUGUGUGUGUGUGUGUGUGUGUGAGUUGUGUGUGUAUGUGUGUCUGUGUGUCUGUGUGUGGAGUCGUUUAAGAAUCCAAAGCGAUGAAAAAUAGACACUCGUAUAUUUGCCAGUAGAGUGGUACAUGAAUCAACGUACACAGUAUUAUGAAUCAAUUACAGUCGGUAUUCGUCGUCAUAUUUCCAAUCUUGGCACUUCUGAUGAGCGUGAUUCUUAGAUAAUCAUCUAAUUAUCUAAUAUCCGGCGCGAAACAGAUUAAGAUUCUCUCCAAUGGACUUAUAACAGUGUAUACUUCGAUUUACAUAUAUACAGGAUUGGUCAAAAAUUACCUGACAGUAAAUCAAAAUCAUUUAAUUCCAAAUAUUUAUUUAUCUUUAACAACUGCAUGAAUUUAAUAAAAAAAAAUCUGAAUUUAAAACAUCAUGAAACUGGUUCAAACUGAAGUCCUUCUUGAGCGACACCAUUUUUCCAAAUGAAUAAAUAAGAUUGAAUAUUAAGUAUUUAUUGAAUUUUUAUUUACUGUCGGUGGUGCCCCAGCAUGGCCGCGGCCUUCGGGCUAAAACAUUUUUAAGGAUUUAUGGAUUUUGUCGGUUGACUUCUGGCCAACCUUAUAUAUAUAUAUUGUUCCACCUCCUUGUGUUGUUGUUGUUUUUUCUGUUUUCUCGUUUGGAUUAACCUUAUAUAUAUAUAUAUAUAUACAUAUACAUACAUAUACAUGCCUAUAUAUUUUAUAUAUAUAUAUAUAAAUAUAUAUAUAUAUAUAUAUAUAUAUACACAUGCCUACCAAUAUAUAUGCAUAUAAUUAUAUAAAAGAAAUUGCAGCACUCCGUCGGUUACGACGACGAGGGUCUCACCUGAUACGAUCAACGGAACAGCUUGUUCGUGAAAUUAAGGUGUAAGUGGUUGAGCACUCCACACACACAUGUACCCUUAACGUAGUUUUCAGGGAGAUGCAGCAUGACACAAUGUGACAGGGCUCGCCCGUUGAAAUACAGGUGCUACUCAUUUUCAGGGGUUCAGUGAAUUAGUUUACUUCCAUCAACAGAGUAUCUGAAACACAAAAAUGUAAUAUCAAUAAAAACUUUAAUAAACAAUUAUUAUUAAAAUAAACAAAUCUGGCUAAAAUAUCUCAACUACCUUUCUAAUAAUUUUUUUAAAAUUGUAAACAAACUUUAUGGACACCCUGUAUAUAUACAAAAUGUAUACAUGUGUAUAUACAUACAUAUAUAUGUGUGUGUGUGUGUGUGAGUAUGCAUUAUGUAUAUGUACAGAGUGUGCUUUGUUCGUGUUUGUGUGCGCGUGUGUACGCGUUUGUAUGUUUGUAUGCGUGUGUACUGGCGUGCGCGCGCAUUACGUUUCCAAUUUAAAAUGAUAUAAACCCAAAACUUCCGUGUACUGCAGAUCAUUUUGAAAGUCUCAAGAAGUGGAAACUGAACAGAAUGACUCAGGAAGUGGUGCCAGGAGGUGACAGAAGCAGGCAGACGAAGCAAUGGAAGAACGAAGCCGUGUACAUAUAAAUAUAUAUAUAUAAUAUAUAUAUAUAUAUAUAUAUAUAUAUAUAUAUAUAUAUAUAUAUAUAUAUAUAUAUAUAUAUACAUAUAUACAUAUAUAUAUACAUGUAUAUAUAUAUAUAUAUAUACAUAGAUACAUAUAUAUAAAUAUAUACAUAUAUACAUAAAUAUAUGUAUAUAUAUAUAUAUGUAUAUAUAUAUUCAUAUAUAUAUAUAUAUACAUACGCAUACGCAAGAUCUUUUAUUUAUAUAUUCGUGUAUUAACAGACUGAAUAAGAAUAUGUAUGUGUGCUUACAAAAUGCGUAAAAACAUACACACACAUACAAACACAUACACAGACACACACAGACAUUCAUACCCACCCCCACACAUAUAUACAUAUAUAUAUAUAUAUAUAUAUAUAUAUAUAUAUAUAUAUAUAUAUAUAUAUAUAUAUGCAAUCAUACAUAUAUGCAUUGAUACGUAAUGCACUCAUGUACACACAUGUAAGUGAAUAAAUUUUGAUUUUGAUUCUGUGUUUU